UAUUAUUUUAAUAAAUAUUUUAAGCCUGGAUUAUUAAUAGAUAUAUUCUUUAAAUUUAAAGAAUUUGGCGGUAAUUUAGUCUUGUUAGAGGAACCUGUUUUACAUGAUCGACAAACCACGUAUAAUCUUAUUCAUUUUGUUAAUUAGCUUAUAUACCGUCAUUAACAGACAAUUUUUAGAAAAUUAAUUGUUAAAAUUUUAAAACGAAAUAAAAUUAGAUCAAGGUGUAGCCUAUAAAUGAGUUAAAAUGGGUUACAAUAAAAUUUAUUUAAAACGAAAAAAGUGUAAAUAGAAUAAUCUUGAAGAAGGAGGAUUUAAUUGUAAUUUAAGUUUAAUAAGCUAAGAAGAUAUAAGCUCUAAAUUAU
rnacentral:rRNA from 1 species